rnacentral:rRNA from 1 species
UACGUAGGCAGCGAGCGUUGUUCGGAAUUACUGGGCGUAAAGAGUGUGUAGGCGGUGUUCCCAGUCUGUUGUGAAAUCUCCCGGCUUAACUGGGAGGGUGCAGCGGAAACUAGAAUGCUAGAGGGUGGGAGAGGUAAGCGGAAUUCCUGGUGUAGCGGUGAAAUGCGUAGAUAUCAGGAGGAGCACCUGUGGUGUAGACAGCUUACUGGACCACUUCUGACGCUGAGACACGAAAGCGUGGGUAGCAAACAG